GCGAACGCUGGCGGCAGGCCUCACACAUGCAAGUCGAACGAACUCUUCGGAGUUAGUGGCGGACGGGUGAGUAACACGUGGGAACGUGCCUUUAGGUUCGGAAUAACUCAGGGAAACUUGUGCUAAUACCGAAUGUGCCCUUCGGGGGAAAGAUUUAUCGCCUUUAGAGCGGCCCGCGUCUGAUUAGCUAGUUGGUGAGGUAAAGGCUCACCAAGGCGACGAUCAGUAGCUGGUCUGAGAGGAUGAUCAGCCACAUUGGGACUGAGACACGGCCCAAACUCCUACGGGAGGCAGCAGUGGGGAAUCUUGCGCAAUGGGCGAAAGCCUGACGCAGCCAUGCCGCGUGAAUGAUGAAGGUCUUAGGAUUGUAAAAUUCUUUCACCGGGGACGAUAAUGACGGUACCCGGAGAAGAAGCCCCGGCUAACUUCGUG
rnacentral:rRNA from 1 species